rnacentral:misc_RNA from 1 species
GGUGGGAGCUGGCUUGCCUGCGAUUGCGGUGCGCCAGAUAACCGAUUCGGUACUGACGGUGCGUUAUCGCAGGCAAGCCAGCUCCCACA